rnacentral:lncRNA from 1 species
UUAUCAAGAAUCAUGCCUUUCCUGUUGCAGAGUAGAAGUAAACAAAAUCAAGAAAUGCCCAAUGCUCACACAAUUUUAACAGGUUUGGCCAAUACAACAGAGACGUGAAAACCAACAGAUGUCCCUCACCAAUCCAGGGAUGACUAACAAAAACCCGAAAUGCAUAGUAUGCAAGAAGGAGUGUUGUAAGAACUGUGUAGAGAAUCUAAAUCCUAGGAUUCCUUGACAUUCUGUUACUGAGAGUCUGCAGUCUCAAGACUUUCAGGAUAAUAAUUCCAAAGGAAUGUUAUCUAUACGUUUUUUCGGAGUAAACACUUCCAUUUCAAGCAAAACGACUGAAUCCAAAAACAUAAGCAGAAGCCUGCUUGGGUCCUCCUUUCUCAUUGCUUGGAGUCAUACUGGUGAGUAUAGGAUAAAUUCUGGAGCCUGGAAUAUGAAAACUGAGUCUGUCAACACAUGGUAGAGUUGUCACACAGUUCAGAUCAACUCAACAAUAUUCCAAGUGGGCUUUGCAGAGCAUCUUCUGGACUCAGACCUUCCCUGUGGCCAUGCUUUCUCUAAAACAGCCCUGAUGACUUACUUUUUCAGGUUGAGGUCUGAGUAAGCCUCC